CUGCACAAAAAAUUAAACAGAUUGGAAAACCAAAACAACUCCACCAUUCUGCCUUUUGGGUGGCCAUAUAAUUAUCAAAAGCCCUUUCAUUCCAACUAAUCACUCUGCGGCACAUUAGCAUCUUCAAUUGACUUACUUGUGGCGAGAUUGAGACCCUUUUCUUAAUCUAAUUAUGGGUGUUUCUGUCUAGGCUACUUAUACUAACCAAUCACCGGGAGAGUUCAGAAUUUUCUAGACCAACAAAUUAUUUGUGACUUUGAGGUGUGAAACGAGAGUCGGCACCAUACCUUGCCAUAAUUCUGGAAAUUUGUUUUGAGAAUAUACUCAACAUUGUCGGGUUCCGAGGUAUAAAUCUCAUUCCUGAAAGGGCUAAGCAGCCUGUAGGUCCUGUACUUCCCUGCAAGAUCAGUCAUAUAGUGAUGCAAUCUUCUGAAGUUGAGGAGCUGGUUAAAAACCGUUCCGCCAACAGGAUGGUACUUGGCCUUAUUUUUCCUCUGCCUUUCUCUUAGUUUUGCUGUGAGGAACUUGACAGUGAAAAGGGCAAGGAUUAGACUUAGAACCAAAGCUACCAAGGGAACUGGGUUAGACAGAUCCAUGGACAUGGAGGUACGUUUGGGUAAGCUGGUCUAUCAAUGUUAGGUGAAGGCUGUAUUAAACUAGAGAAGUCGGUUUUGUAAUACUAAUAAUAUCAACGGAGAGAAGUCCUUCUGCUAAGUCAUUCCUCUCAACCAAACGUGUCAUAACCUAAUUGGACGACAUUCGGACAAGCCCUAAACGUGGUUCUCUCGAAUUUCACAAGGUGAUCUUUUUGAAAAUUGGUAAAAAAUUACUAAUAAACUUCACCACAGCCAAGUAACAAAACAAAGGGCCAUACUUGUUAUUUCCUUAGUUAUGAUGAUAAAGAACAUACAAAUCUCUUCUAAUUGGUUAUUCUAUAGUUAAGUAAAGAGAAUGAUUUUUGAAUUUAAUUCUUAAAUAAGAAAAUACGUGUAUUUAUCAUGUUAAAUUUAAUACUCAAAUGAAAAAUUAAUUAGAAUUUUAUUUCGGAGCAUAUGAUACAAUCAAGUAACUUAAGUACAAAGAUGAUUAAGCUUGGCAAACAAGGAUAUGUCAUGUUUCUCAAUCCGAGAGAUAAGAAGCACAGAGCCAAAGGCCCUGCAAAAAGGCAGGGGAGAACUGAAUUGUUGUUUCCUAAAACUUUGCAUUAAGAUCAACAUGACUUUCUAGUCAUUAAAUAUUCUGCUAGAUUUCGAACUUGCAAAUAUGGUCUGUUUUAAUGAAAUUGCAGAAUGUUGUCUCACGUCUCAAGAACUUUGAUUUCACUUCUUUUUCAAGGAAAAAAAAAUGGUUUCACUUAGUUUGCAGAAGUGUCCUGAACUCAAUUUUCAGACAAAAGUAUGGUUCAAGACUCCUUGGUGAGUGAAAGUAAUUCUUCAUCAUAUUUAUUCCUUUAUUUUUCUUUUUGGAUAUCAUUGUAUUUAUUCUUGUGCAAGGACAAGUACAUGCAUACUCAAACCUUGCAAUUGCCCAGCAUACAGAACUGAGCCAACAGAUGAAACCCGUGGUCAAAUAGGCAAGAAAGACUAAGUCUGACAUCUGGGAAAUGCGCGGACAUGAAGGCCCCCAUCUACAUGAAGAGUGAUCAUCGUCCUGUAGGUGACAGAUUUAUUCUCAUCACUCAGUUUGAACACAAAGUAGUGCACAAGAACAGCCGAGAAGAUCUUCAUCUGCCUAUAAGCAAAUUCCUUGCCUAAACAAAUUCGAGGCCCUGCCUGUAAACCAUUAGAAAAUAAAGUUCAGUAUGUUCACAUCUUUAGCCGGUGAAAUCACACUUGUGAAACAAUAUGAGAAGUUUGAACUUUCGGAAAAAGACCCAGAACCAGAAAUCAAAUGCCGUUAUACUGAUUUUUUACCCUUUUUUCCUAUUUGAGGUUUUAUUUUACACCAAGUGCCAAUCAGAAUAAUAAUGCUUUGGCCGAUCUGGAAACGAAGCGUACAAGAAUUUCUAAUUUGUAGUAUGUUCUGCACACCUGGAAUGCUGUAAACUUAAAAGGGCUUUCUGGUUGGAACAUCCCAUCCUCAUCAAGCCAUCUCUCUGGUCUGAACUCCUCUGCAUCAUCACCCCAUAUGAAUUUCAUUCUGCCCAUUGCAUAAGGUUGAUAACAAACCAUAUCUCCUUUCCUCACACUGAACCCAUCUGGAAGAGUAUCAUCAGAAAAGCAUAUCUUUGGAUCCUGCAAUCAAAGUGAAGAGGUAGUGAGAACCAAAGAAAACCCCAGAACAUAGAAAGGAAGCUAAUUUCUAGCCUUCCCGAUACGCCUUGAAUGGAUAUCAGUUUAUAGAUGCAUGUUCUUUGAUGUGCAUUAACAAGUUCAGUUGGAGGAUUCAAGAUUCAAGGCAACUUUGCUUACAACUGGAACAGCGGGGUAGAGCCUUAAUGUUUCAGUUAAGGCUGCAUGGAGAUAGUGCAUUUUUCCUAGAGCUUCUUCGCUCAAGAUAGCAGCAAAUUCAGCAAAAUCUUUAACCUCCAUCGUGUCAGUUGCUUCCUUCACUUCUUGUGCAACCUUUUCUUGAACAUCAGGAUGCUUGCAGAGCAUGUAAAUAAACCACGACAGAGUAGCUGCUGUUGUGUCUUUCCCAGCAAUUAUGAAGUUAAGGAUUAUAUCUCGCACGUAUGUUGGGUCAGUGUCAUUCAAUUGCAGAAAUCUGGAUAAAAUGUCUUCCUUUUUCAUCUGCACAAUCCGUAGAAUACAAUUAUUUCAAAAUUCUACAUAGAAACCGUUAAUUAUAAGUAGCUCUAUUCUUCUAGUUCACUCACAGAAGAAUCGUUCGAGUUACGCAUCUGCUCAAUCUUGUUGUGGAUCAGCUUAUACACAAAAUUAUCAACCACUUUUGUACUUUUCUUUAGUUUUGCUUCUGAUCCAAUAUUUAAAAAUCUCUUGAUCUUCCAGAAGAUAUCAACAUAUCGGAAGAGGAUUGCUGCGCUUGAAUCAUCAAAAGCAGCUGUAAACUCUUUGCCUUCUAAAUUUGAUCCACACACGCUGUCUAGUUCAACUCCAAAUCCAACUUUGAAUAUCGAAUCUAAAGUCGAUUUCAUAAACAAGUCCUGCACAACAUUUCGCUAUAACAGGUUCAUAUUAUAUAUCACUCCGUCAUGGAUCUUGCCAUUAGGUGAACUUACCUGAAUAUCCAUUAUCUUGUUGGACUUCGCUGCGUCAGACACUAUAUUUGCAAGCUUUGCUGCAUUUUUCCGAAAGACUACAGUGCUGAAAUCCCUCAACACCUUCGUUGAGAAUUCAUAGCUUGACACUUUCCUCUGUUGACGCCACUUAUCACCAUCGACUGCGAAAAUCCCAUCACCUAGUAAACCCUUUAGCAAGCUGUAAUUGUACUCACCCUGCACAGAAAAUUAGACAAAUUGAAAAACCAAAACGACCCCACCAUUCUGCCGUAGCCAUAUAAUUAUCAAAAACUCUUUCGUUAUAGCAAAUAACCCUGCAGCACAUUAGCAUUUGUAGUUGACUUAAUUGUGACUAUAGAUUGAGACACUCUUUCAUAUUCUAAUUCUGGGUGUUACUGUCUAAGCUACUUCUUCCAACCAAUGACAGGGGGAGUUCAAAAUUUUCUAGACCAACAAAUUACCUUGCCAUAAUUCUGGAAAUUUGUUUUGAGAAUAUAUUCAACGUUGUCUGGUUCCGAGGUAUAAACCUCACUCCUGAAAGGGCUAAGCAGCCUGUAGUUCCUGUACUUCCCAGCAAGAUCAGUCAUAUAGUGAUGCACUCUUUUGAAGUUGAGGAGCUGGUUAAAAAGUGUUCCGCCAACAGGAUGGUACUUGGUCUUGUUUUUUUUCUGCUUUUCUCUUAGUUUUGCUGCGAGGAACUUGACAGUGAAAAGGAUCAGGAUUAGAUUUAGAAACAAAGCGACCAAUGUAGCUGGGUUAGACAGAUCCAUGGAGAUGGAGGUCCUUUUUGGGUAAGCUGGUCGAUCAAUGUUAGCGGGUGAAGACUGAAGAAAACUAGAGGUCUUUUUAUAAUACUAAUAAUAUCAACGGGGAGAAAUCCUUUUGCUAAGUCAUUUCUCUUAACCAGACGUGUGACUAUAUUCGGACAAUCCGCAAACGUGUUUCUCUUAAAUUUUACGUGCACAUUGCUGAGAGUCCAACCAUGAGAGAGAUAUGCACCGACUUUCCUUCGUUGUCUCCUUUUUCGUUUUUAAAUUGUUAUAAGUUAUUAACUAAUUUCACCACAACCAAUUAACAAAACAAAGGGCAGGACUAGGUUUUUUUUUACUCAGUCAAUAUAACUAUUUAGAGAAAAUUGUGAAAAAUAACUCAUAAGGUGAUUUCAAAAAUAAUUAUCCAUAUAAUGUUAUCUGUUUUUACCAAAAAACAAACAUGAGUAAACCAAAAUGCUCUCAGAAACAUCCUGGCAAAUCAAUCUCCUAAUAUCUCUCUCGCUGUAAAGAAAAUAAAUACUCAGUUAUUUCAGCUCGCUCAACUCUUUCAGCUCUCUAAAUUAUAUCAGCUUUGUCAACUCUCUGUUAAGUACCAUCGUCAUCAACUCUCUUAGCUAUUUGAACUGUAUCAUCUAUAUGUACUUAUUAAAGAUAUAAAUUAAAGAAUAUAAAAGAAAACGAAGUAAAUGAAUAAUUGAAAAGACAAGUCGAGCCACUAAUUACUACAAUGAUCACUGUCUGAUCACGACAGCUAAAGCCACUGCAAUUGCUCGGCCAAUAAAGUUGACAAACUUUGUUGAAAUAGGACUUGCAUUGAAAAUCACGUCAGUUCAUACUAUCUUAGGAUCAUAUGUGACCAUUUUGUAUAAGCUAGCUUUCUUUCAAAUUAUGAUAACUAUGCAUUUAAUGAAUGAUUUAUAUGAUGAUUAGUAUGCAUUCUUAGGCCUAGCUACUGUUCAAAACUUAGUUGUUAAGUUUUGUUAUGUAUAUAAACUAAGUCAAUGCAUAUCAGAAAUAUGAAACCUACUGUUACAACAAAAACUGUCUUUACUUGCUCUGUUUCAUACUUAUCCUACAUCAACUAAAACACAACAAAACUUACUAAAUAAAGCAAUCUAUAUACCAACAAUGUCUUGGAAUUUAGCAAGUUUUAGUUUGUCCUCUUGGAAUGACAUAGAGGUCGAGGCCAUGCUGGAGGGUGAAGCCACAACAUGGUCCUAUCGUCUGCCAAGUUGAAGCGAAAGUAGUGAAUAAGGGAACUUUGUUGAGAUUUUCUUUAUCUGCUCAGAAGAAAUUAAGAAAAAAUUAUAUGGUGUAGAUACUUGAUUUUGAUUUUGAUUGUUAACAUAUUUCUUCAAUAUAAAGUAAAAUUAAUUUAUAAAACGUUGUAUUACUAUGUAAGAAGUAGUGUAGAUAAUUUAUAAUAAGUAGAAAAAUCACGUCAUUGUAUAAACUAGUGAAAAUAUCUUCGAAAUAAAUGAUGAGAUUUUUAAAUUAAUUUUUUUAAAAUGUUUUGAAGAGUUUGAUUUGAUAACUUAAAUACAUAAAUGAAAAUUUUCUAAAUACGUAUGCAUAAAAUCCACUAUCACCAUCAAUGACCUAAACAUUCAUAAGGCUUUAAUGCCUCAACAGUUGACAUUUUCUCAUUGGUAUGAAUAAAUUUCAUUAAUUACAAGAUUACUCAAUUCCAUAACCCUUCAAGAUAUUUUCUCAUUGAUUGUGUUCGAUUUGAUAAGGAUGUUAAUUUUUUUUUUUGAAUUACAAAUAUUUUUCAUUUUUUUAAAUAAUUAAGUGACGCACUUCUAAUGCCUCAGUAGCUGACAUUAAUUAUCCAUUGGUUGCAUUCACUUUGAUUCGGAGCUAAUUAACAACCGAAAAGUUGGCCGAUGUUUGCCGACUUGGAUUUAAUGGUCAUAUGAGUUGGUGUAACAAUGUGAUACCAAAAAGGUAGUAAUCAAUACAAAUUUUGAGUAGGAAGAGUACUGCAUUCAAAUGAAAUCAAGAAGAAGAUUGUGGAGAAAACUCUCAUUUAAUGGAAGAACAUGACUGCCAAAUACGAGUACCUAAACAUGGUUUGGCAAUUGCCAUCAUCCUAUGCAUCCCUAGGUUACUUAACUGAUUGAUGUAAUUCAUUGAAUAAAAUGGUUAGUUGUUAUUAUCAUGUCAUGUCAUCGUCAUGAUAUUUCUUCCUCUUUUGUGAGUAAUGAGAUUUUUGAAGGAUGGAGAUGACUCUACCUAAAUUCUUAGAUUUUUUUGUUGCUUAUUUUCAUUGUAUUUUGAGUUUUUGACUGUGUCUAACUGUUUAUCUUUUGCAAAGCCAUUUUUUCACCUUAAUUUCAACCCAGCAUCUGUGUGUUGUCCGAUGGGUUAGAAAAUGGGCAAGUUUGAUUGGUGGUUGAUUCCUUUUCUUCAGCAUUUUGGUAACUUGGGCCUAUAAAAUUUAUUUAUAGUAGACAAAAAAAAACUUUUAUUAAAAAAUAUUAUAGUAAAUAUUUGUUUCUUUUCGGAUAAUUGACUUUUAUUUAGCUAAGGAAUAUUUUAUUUGAAAUAUGUCCCAUAUAUACCACUGAAAAUCCAAGGCUUUUUAUGGUUAUUCAUUCUUAAUGGCAUUUCUACUAAAUGCUUUCUAAGAAUCAGAACGCAUGGUGUAUGUCCUACAAUACAAAUGGUGAUAACCUUUGUUUUUGGUGUUACAGCCAUGGAGGAAAAGAGUGAUGAUAUUUUAUUUUCUUGUCACUUCAUACGGUCCAUGGAGGAAAUGUGGAUAGAUCGAAGAUAAGUAAAUCAAGAUUCACAGACUGUGAAAGCGUAUUAAAAGAUGAGAACUUUUUGACUUGGAUUUUUUUUAAUAAAAGUUCUUUGCUUGGAUUUUUUUUUAGUAAAAAUUCUUUGCUUGGAUUUAAGAGAUGAGAUUCAAAGAACUUUUAAGAGAUGCAGCAAACAACCUCAAAAUCCAAGCUCUUUGCUUGUAAGCUUCCUAGCCACUUGUAAACAGAAAAUACGGCUUCUAUGGAGUCCCAAUCUCGGGAAAUGGUCAGGGCAUAUAGACCAGAUGACUCGAAUUGUACAUAUAUUUUUUUCUUUUUUGGUGAAAUAACUCAAAUUCCAUUGAUCAACACAUUUACAGAAAAAAGCAAAUCAACACUAUAGAAAAAUGCAAAUCGGGGCUCUUAUGUACAACCAGCAAGGUUGAAGACUUGAAGUUGAACAAAUUGAUGACUUUGCACAGGAGGAUAUUUGGAAAUUCAUCAACUUGUCCUUGGAACAGCAUAAAGAUGGAGGCCCCCCUUCAUAUGAAGUGUGAACAUUGUCCUGUAAGUUGCAAUUUUCGUAUAAUCAACUAAUUUAAAGCGGAAGAAGCGAAGAAGGGCAAUUGAGACUAUCUUCAUCUACCGGUGAGCAAAAUCCUUGCCUAAGCAAGUUCGAGGACCCGCCUGAAACAUAAUGCAGCAGCUGGAAAAGAUUAAGAUCGUUUGACAACUAUAUAGGCACAUGCAUGUUAUACACAUGGUAGAAAUGGAACAAAGAAUACUAACAUGAAAUGCUAUGAAUUUGAAAGGGGAUUCGGACUGGAAAACUCCAUUGUUAAGCCAUCUUUCUGGUCGAAAAGUGUCGGCAUCUUCUCCCCAAAUGUCAGGCAUUCUACGCAUGGCGUAGGCCAUGUAAUACACCCCGUCUCCUUUCUUGAGUUUGUAGCCAUCGGGGAGAAUGUCAUCCUGCUCUGCAUUCCUUCCAUCCUUGAAGCACAAAGUGAGAACCAUAUCAUAUUCCAGCUGUCGAAAUGCUAAGACUGCAAGAAAAUCUAUGAGUGUCUCAGGCACCUUACAAUGGCGACAGCAGGGUACAGCCUUAAGGUCUCUGUUAUGGCUGCAUGAAGAUAGUGCAUUUGCUCUAGGGUUGAAUCAGUUAUGGUUGUCACGAAAUCAUCAACAUUAUUAGCACCAUUUCUUUUACUACUAGUGACGUCCACCACUUCUUGUGCAAGUUUUUCUUGUAUCAAAGGGUUCUUGCAGAGCAUGUAGAAGAACCAGGACAGAGUAUUCGCAGAAGAAUCUUUGCCAGCGAGUACGAAGUUCAGGAUUAUAUCCCUUAAAUAUUUGUCAUUCAUUGUGUCUGGAUUCUUCUCGCUUUCCACUAAAAAUCUUGAAAGUAUGUCUUCUUUCACAUUCUUGAAGCCAUAAAAAGAAAUAAGAAAAAACAAACCAAUUAUUAGUAAAGUAUAAAUUUCCACGCCAAAAACCAGAUUACCUUAAGCAGUGAGAUUGAAUUCAACAGUGUUCUUGUGACUCUCAAGUCCCACCAUAUUUGUUAGACCAAGAUUGACUAUAAGAAAUUCUUGCAGCAAAAUAUAUAUGGCUCACCAAAUCUCGUUCCAUGCCCAGCAGUUUCCUCUUGGAGCUAAUGACAUCGUGAACAAAGUAUCAACGACUUUGAUAUUCUUUCUGAGGGCAGCUUCAGAGCCAAUGUUAAGAGACCGUUUCAGCUUCCAGAAAGGGUCAACAAAGCGCCUCUCAUUUGAAUCAUCAAAAGCCUUCAUAAAAGUAGUCCCUUCCUUACUUGACCCAUCCAUGCAGUUUAAAUCUAUGCCAAACCCAACUUUGAAUAUGGAAUCUAGAGUGCAUGUCAUUAAUAGAUUCUACAAAUUAAAGUAAACACAGCAUGAAAAACUGAAAAAGGGAAAAUUAGACAAGCAUAAUUGUGAGCAUCUUUAAAGUUUUGGGUUAAUUUGAGGGUCAGAUUUCUCACUUGCAUGUCAAAAGCUUGACCCGACACUUCCAGCUUCGAAAUAACUCCAACCAGUUUGGCAGCGUUCCUUCUGAAAACAGAGCAGCUAAAAUAUUUAAGAACUCUCGUCGAGAACUCGAAGCUUGCCAGCUUCCGCUGCUUCCGCCACUUGUCUCCGUCCACCGCAAAGAUCCCUUGUCCAAAAAGAUCUAUCAGAAUUUCUUGGUUUUGUUUACCCUUACAGUAUCUGUCGAACUUUGUUUUCAAUAUGUACUCUACAUUUCGCGUAUCGACGGUGUAUACUACGCUUAGCCCUAAAGCGAGUUGCCUGUAAGUGGGCUGUUUUUUGGCCGCUUGGGUUUGGUAGUCGUAGAGAUAGUUGAAAUAAAACAACUGGUUGAAAACGCUGCCCUUCACCGGUGGGUUGUCAGGAUUUCCGAUGGAUUUUCCGGUGAAGAUUUUGAUUGUGAGAAAAGAGAAGAUCAGGAAGAGAAUGAGUGGUGGUAAUGACAUCAACAAGAAGAUGGUAGAGAGAAUAUCCAUUUUUCCUUUUUCUAAUGAAUACUCGGAAAGGUUAUAGGCCAUAUAUGCAGAUUCUUGCAUUGGGUUGCAUUCAUUUUUCAACCUACCAACAAAAUCAAACCGUUUUCAUCACCAAUAUCUUUCUCAACAACAAAAUCAUUUGUUUAAUAAUUAUAAUGUUUACACGUGUACGAUUGCCAUUUCAUCAAUUUGAUUUUUCUUGUAAAUUAAGUUGAUGCCACCAUAUCUCAUACUUCAAAAAUUUUAGAGGAUUGUACGGAUAAUCAUAAAUUUAUAAUCAUAAUUAUAAUCUAUUUAACUUCUAAAGUGAAUUAACAUAUAUAACUUUAAUCAAGUAAGCAUGAAAAAAGUGUAUCAUUUAAGUUUGGGUCUUGUUUACGAAUAUUCUAAGAGUUUUUUUAUCGUUAAUUAAAAUAUUAUAAUAAUAUUUUUCUUUUAAAUGUCGUAAUUGACUGGUAGUGCGAUGAUUUUCAAUAUAUCUAAAAUGAUAUUACUCAAUAUAAUAACUUUAAAUAAUAUCAUUAUAACAAUAGUUAGUAAAAGUCAUAAUAUUCAAAAAAGCUUUUAAAUUAUUCAAAAAAUUUAAAAUAAAUCUUACUUUUAUUAUAUUCAAUUAUAUUUUUAUAUUUUUAUUUUAGAUCAAAUAAAUCUUUUAUUUUUAUUUUGAAUCAAAUAAAUCUUUAUAAAUAAUAAUUGACUUAGUUAAAAUGUUAUUUGUCAUUAUAUAUUACGUGACGCUGAUGUAGUAUACUAACAUAUCAUAAUUAAUGAUGAUGUGAUAUGUUGAUUUAUCAUAUUUGAUAAUGAUAUGACAUGCUAGUUUAACCUAAUAACAUGAUGACAUUUUUCAAUCUCUACAUUAAUAUCAUAUUAGUGCCACGUGGAUAUAAAAUGAUAAAAUAUAUUUUGACUAAUGAAAAUUAGUCAAUUAUUAUUAAUAAAAGCUUAUUUGAUCUAAAAUAAAAAUAUAGAGACUUGAUUAAGCGUAACAAAAGAAUAAAAAUUUAUUCGAAUUUUGUUAAAUAGUUUCAGAGCUUAUUUGAGAAAUAUGUGUUAGUAAAACCAUUUAUAUUUAAAUUUUUAUUUUAUUUUUUGAAAAGUAAUUUGUCAUAAACGGAAUAAUGACAUGGCUAUAGAUUAAGCUAGGCUAUAAACUUAUUUCAGCCUUAAAUGAUUAACAAUGAAUAAGGUGCGUCCCCUCUCAAGAAACCCCUAUACAAUAGUUAGGAUAAACCCUUAAAGGAUGGACCUCAGGACCGGGGGCAGCUCAAGUACCUCUUGUGACGACAUGAUAUUCAUUGAAGACUAUUUGGACUUCAAGCGUGUUCAUCCAUUGACAUUGGCAAUUAGUUUCUGCUGGCAUGAACCGUAUGGCGACCACUUGUAUGAUUGUGAUAUAUCAUGCUGUUGAGUGCGAGCUCAACUUUGUUGAAGUACAUUGGUGUCCUUGGUUUUGUUGAAUUCUGACAAUAGACAUCCCAUACCCAAUUCAUAGCAUACAUAUGGCUUUUAUCUUUGUUUAAAUUGAAUUAAGAACAUCCGGAUUCAUUUCAUACUCAUAAGAUCUUAAGAUGAUCAAGAUUUGCACUUAACGGAAGCAAAACUGGCCUGAACUCAAUAUUCAGACAAAAGUAUGGUUCUAGACUCUUUGGUCAGUGAAAGCAACCAUCCAUCAUAUCGAUUCCUUUCGUCCUUUUUGCUUGGUGACAUCAUCCGAUUUACUCAUGUGCAAGGAAAGAUACAAGUAUAUUAACAGUGUGCAUUUGCCUAGUAUAAAGAACUGAGCCACCAGAUGAAACCCUUGGUCAAAUAAGCUAGAAAGACCAAAGUUAAGUCUGACAUCUGUGAAGUGCGCGGACAUGAAGGCCCCCAUCUACAUGAAGAUUGAUCAUCGUCCUGUAGGUGACACAUUUAUUCUCAUCACUCAGUUUGAACGCAAAGCAGUGCACCAGAACAGCUGAGAAGAUCUUCAUCUGCCUAUAAGCAAAUUCCUUGCCUAAACAAAUUCGAGGCCCUGCCUGUAAACCAUUAGAAAAUAAAGUUCAGUAUCUUCACAUCUUUAGCCGGUAAAAUCACACUUGUGAAACAAUAUGAGAGGUUUGAACUUUCAGAAAAAGACUCAGAACCAGAAUCAAAUGCUGUUAUGCUGCUUUUUUACCAUUUUUUUUCUAUUUGAGGUCUUUUUUUACACCAAGUGCCAAUCAGAAUAAAAAUGCUUUGCCCGAUCUGCAAAAGAAGCAUACAACAAUUUCUAAUUUGCAACAUGUUCUGCAUACCUGGAAUGCUGUAAACUUAAAAGGGCUUUCUGGUUGGAACAUCCCCUCCUCAUCAAGGCAUCUCUCUGGUCUGAACUCCUCUGCAUCAUCACCCCAAAUGAAUUUCAUUCUGCCCAUUGCAUAAGGUUCAUAACAAACCAUAUCUCCUUUCCUCACACUGAACCCAUCUGGAAGAGUUUCAUCAGACAAGCAUAUCUUUGCAUCCUGCAAUCAAAGUGAAGAGGUAGUGAGAACCAAAGAAAACCCCAGAACAUAGCAAGGAAGCUAAUUUCUAGCCUUCCCGAUAUGCAUUGAAUGGAUAUCAGUUUAUCGAUGCAUGUUCUUUGAUGUGCAUUAACAAGUUCAGUUGGAGGAUUCAAGAUUCAAGGCAACUUUGCUUACAACUGGAACAGCGGGGUAGAGCCUUAAUGUUUCAGUUAAGGCUGCAUGGAGAUAGUGCAUUUUUCCUAGGGCUUCUUCGCUCAAGAUAGCAGCAAAUUCAGCAAAAUCUUUAACCUCCUUCGUGUCAGUUGCUUCCUUCACUUCUUGUGCAACCUUUUCUUGAACAUCAGGAUGCUUGCAGAGCAUGUAAAUAAACCACGACAGAGUAGCUGUCGUUGUGUCUUUCCCAGCAAUUAUGAAGUUAAGGAUUAUAUCUCGCAAGUAUGUUGGAUCAGUGUCACUCACUUGUAGAAAUCUGGAUAAAAUGUCUUCCUUUUUCAUCUGCAUAAUCUGUAGAAAAUAAUAAUUUCAAUAUUCUACUUCAACAGGUAAUAUAAGCUGUUAACUAUAAGUAGCUCUACUGUUCUAGUUCACUCACUGAAGCUUCAUCCUUUGAGUUGCGUAUUGGCUCAAUCUUGUUGUGGAUCAGCUUAUACACAAAAUUAUCAACCACUUCUAUACUUUUCUUCAGUGUGGCCUCUGAUCCAAUAUUUAGAAAUCUUUUGAUCUUCUAGAAGAUAUCAACAUAUCGGAAGAGGAUUGCUGCACUUGAAUCAUCAAAAGCAGCUGUAAACUGUUUGCCUUCUAAAUUUGAUCCACACAUGCUGUCUAGUUCGACUCCAAAUGCAACUUUGAAUAGUGAAUCUAAAGUCGAUUUCAUAAACAAGUCCUGCACAAUAUAUCGUUAUAACAGAUCCAUUUUAUAUAUCACUCUGCAUUGAUCUUGCCAUUAGGUGAACUUACCUGUAUAUCCAUUAUCUCAUUGGAAUUUGCUGCUUCAGACACUAUAGUUGCAAGUUUUGCCGCAUUUUCCCGAAAGACUACACUGCUGAAAUCUCUCAAGACCUUGGUUGAGAAUUCAUAGCUUGAUACUUUCCUCUGUUGACGCCACUUAUCACCAUCGACAGUGAAAAUCCCAUCACCUAGUAAACCCUUUAGCAAGCUGUAAUUGUACUCACCCUGCACAGAAAAUUAAACAGUUUGGAAAACCAAAACAACUCCACCAUUCUGCCUUUUGGGUGGCCAUAUAAUUAUCAAAAGCCCUCUCAUUCCAACUAAUCACUCUGCGGCAUAUUAGCAUCUACAAUUGACUUACUUGUGGCGAGAUUGAGACCCUUUUUCUUAAUCUAAUUACGGGUGUUUCUGUCUAAGCUACUUACACUAACCAAUCACCGGGAGAGUUCAGAAUUUUCUAGACCAACAAAUUAUUUGUGACUUUGAGGUGUGAAACGAGAGUCGGCACCAUACCUUGCCAUAUUUCUGGAAAUUUGUUUUUAGAAUAUACUCAACAUUGUCUGGUUCCGAGGUAUAAAUCUCAUUCCUGAAAGGGCUAAGCAGCCUGUAGUUCCUGUACUUCCCAGCAAGAUCAGUCAUAUAGUGAUGCAAUCUUCUGAAGUUGAGGAGCUGGUUAAAAACCGUUCCGCCAACGGGAUGGUACUUGGCCUUAUUUUUCCUCUGCCUUUCUCUUAGUUUUGCUGUGAGGAACUGGACGGUGAAAAGGGUCAGGAUUAGACUUAGAACCAAAGCUACCAAGGGAACUGGGUUAGACAGAUCCAUGAAGAUGGAGGUACGUUUGGGAAAGCUGGUCUAUCAAUGUUAGGUGAAGGCUGUAUUAAACUAGAGAAGUCGUUCUGAAAUACUAAUAAUAUCAACGGAGAGAAGUCCUUCUGCCAAGUUAUUCCUCUCAACCAAACGUGUCACAACCUAAUUGGACUACAUUCGGACAAGCCCGAAACGUGGUUCUCUCGAAUUUCACAAGGUGAAAUUUUUGAAAUUGGCAAAAAAUUACUAAUAAAUUUCACCACAACCAGAUAACAAAACAAAGGGUCAUACUUAUUUUUUCCUUAGUUAUGAUGGUAAAGGACAUACAUAUCUGUUCUAUUCGGUUAUUUUGUAGUUAAGUAAAGAGAAUGAUUUUUUAAUUUAAUUUUUAAAUAAAAAUACGUGUAUUUAUCAUGUUAAGUUUAAUAUUCAGAUGAAAAAUUAAUUAGAAUUUUAUUUCAAAGCAUAUGAUACAAUUAAGUAACUUAAGUACAAAGAUGAUUAAGCUUAGCAAACAAGGAAAUGUCAUAUUUCUCAAUCCGAGAGAUAAGAAGCACAGAGCCAAAGGCCCUGCAAAAAGGCAGGGGAGAACUGAAUUGUUGUUUCCUAAAACUUUGCAUUAAGAUCAACAUGACUUUCUAGUCAUUAAAUAUUCUGCUAGAUUUCGAACUUGCAAAUAUGGUCUGUUUUAAUGAAAUUGCAGAAUGUUGUCUCAGGUCUCAACAACUUUGAUUUCACUUCUUUUUCAAGGAAAAAAAAAUGGUUUCACUUAGUUUGCAGAAGUGUCCUGAACUCAAUUUUCAGACAAAAGUAUGGUUCGAGACUCCUUGGUGAGUGAAAGUAAUUCUUCAUCAUAUUUAUUCCUUUAUUUUUCUUUUUGGAUAUCAUUGUAUUUAUUCUUGUGCAAGGACAAGUACAUGCAUACUCAAACCUUGCAAUUGCCCAGCAUACAGAACUGAGCCAACAGAUGAAACCCGUGGUCAAAUAGGCAAGAAAGACUAAGUCUGACAUCUGGGAAAUGCGCGGACAUGAAGGCCCCCAUCUACGUGAAGAGUGAUCAUCGUCCUGUAGGUGACAGAUUUAUUCUCAUCACUCAGUUUGAACACAAAGUAGUGCACCAGAACAGCCGAGAAGAUCUUCAUCUGCCUAUAAGCAAAUUCCUUGCCGAAACAAAUUCGAGGGCCUGCCUGUAAACCAUUAGAAAAUAAAGUUCAGCAUGUUCACAUCUUUAGCCGGUGAAAUCACACUUGUGAAACAAUAUGAGAAGUUUGAACUUUCGGAAAAAGACCCAGAACCAAAAAUCAAAUGCUGUUAUACUGCUUUUUUAGCCUCUUUUUCUAUUUGAGGUUUUAUUUUACACCAAGUGCCAAUCAGAAUAAUAAUGCUUUGGCCGAUCUGGAAACGAAGCGUACAAGAACUUCUAAUUUGUAGUAUGUUCUGCACACCUGGAAUGCUGUAAACUUAAAAUGGCUUUCUGGUUGGAACAUCCCAUCCUCAUCAAGCCAUCUCUCUGGUCUGAACUCCUCUGCAUCAUCACCCCAUAUGAAUUUCAUUCUGCCCAUUGCAUAAGGUUGAUAACAAACCAUAUCUCCUUUCCUCACACUGAACCCAUCUGGAAGAGUAUCAUCAGAAAAGCAUAUCUUUGCAUCCUGCAAUCAAAGUGAAGAGGUAGUGAGAUCCAAAGAAAACCCCAGAACAUAGAAAGGAAGCUAAUUUCUAGCCUUCCCGAUACGCAUUGAAUGGAUAUCAGUUUAUAGAUGCAUGUUCUUUGAUGUGCAUUAACAAGUUCAGUUGGAGGAUUCAAGAUUCAAGGAAACUUUGCUUACAACUGGAACAGCGGGGUAGAGCCUUAAUGUUUCAGUUAAGGCUGCAUGGAGAUAGUGCAUUUUUCCUAGAGCUUCUUCGCUCAAGAUAGCAGCAAAUUCAGCAAAAUCUUUAACCUCCAUCGUGUCAGUUGCUUCCUUCACUUCUUGUGCAACCUUUUCUUGAACAUCAGGAUGCUUGCAGAGCAUGUAAAUAAACCACGACAGAGUAGCUGCUGUUGUGUCUUUCCCAGCAAUUAUGAAGUUAAGGAUUAUAUCUCGCACGUAUGUUGGGUCAGUGUCAUUCAAUUGCAGAAAUCUGGAUAAAAUGUCUUCCUUUUUCAUCUGCACAAUCCGUAGAAUACAAUUAUUUCAAAAUUCUACAUAGAAACCGUUAAUUAUAAGUAGCUCUAUUCUUCUAGUUCACUCACAGAAGAAUCGUUCGAGUUACGCGUCUGCUCAAUCUUGUUGUGGAUCAGCUUAUACACAAAAUUAUCAACCACUUUUGUACUUUUCUUUAGUUUUUGCUUCUGAUCCAAUAUUUAAAAAUCUCUUGAUCUUCCAGAAGAUAUCAACAUAUCGGAAGAGGAUUGCUGCACUUGAAUCGUCUAAAGCAGCUGUAAACUCUUUGCCUUCUAAAUUUGAUCCACACAUGCUGUCUAGUUCAACUCCAAAUCCAACCUUGAAUAUCGAAUCUAAAGUCGAUUUCAUAAACAAGUCCUACACAACAUUUCGUUAUAACAGAUUCAUUUUAUAUAUCACUCCGUCAUGAGUCUUGCCAUUAGGUGAACUUACCUGAAUAUCCAUUGUCUUGUUGGACUUCGUUGCGUCAGACACUAUAUUUGCAAGCUUUGCUGCAUUUUUCCGAAAGACUACAGUGCUGAAAUCCCUCAACACCUUUGUUGAGAAUUCAUAGCUUGACACUUUCCUCUGUUGACGCCACUUAUCACCAUCGACUGCGAAAAUCCCAUCACCUAGUAAAUCCUUUACCAAGCUGUAAUUGUACUCACCCUGCACAGAAAAUUAGACAAAUUGAAAAACCAAAACGACCCCACCAUUCUACCGUAGCCAUAUAAUUAUCAAAAACUCUUUCGUUGUAGCUAAUAACCCUGCAGGCUGCAGCACAUUAGCAUUUGUAAUUGACUUAAUUGUGACUAUAGAUUGAGACACUCUUUCAUAUUCUAAUUCUGGGUGUUACUGUCUAAGCUACUUCUUCCAACCAAUGACUGGGAGUUCAAAAUUUUCUAGACCAACAAAUUACCUUGCCAUAAUUCUGGAAAUUUGUUUUGAGAAUAUAUUCAACGUUGUCUGGUUCCGAGGUAUAAACCUCACUCCUGAAAGGGCUAAGCAGCCUGUAGGUCCUAUACUUCCCUGCAAGAUCAGUCAUAUAGUGAUGCACUCUUUUGAAGUUGAGGAGCUGGUUAAAAAGUGUUCCGCCAACAGGAUGGUACUUGGUCUUGUUUUCUUUCUGCUUUUCUCUUAGUUUUGCUGCGAGGAACUUGACAGUGAAAAG
rnacentral:lncRNA from 1 species